GAGUGUUAUUGAUCUUUCUACUAAUAGCUUAUCUGGAGAAAUUCCUAAAGAAUUGUUCAAUAUUACUCUACUGUGGUCCUUAAACCUGUCUCGAAACCAUUUGACUGGAAAGAUUCCUAAAGAAAUUGGAGCUCUAGAAAACUUAGAAUCUCUGGAUCUCAGCUACAACAGACUUUCUGGAGAAAUUCCUUCUACCAUAUCUAAUUUGUCUUUUCUUGCUUGUUUGAACCUCUCAUACAACAAUCUCAUCGGACAAAUUCCACUGGGAACCCAAAUUCAAAGUUUUGAUUCCUGGAGUUUUGUUGGCAAUCGUGAACUUUGUGGAGAUCCUCUUCCAAAGAAGUGCAACAAAAAAGAAGAAACUCAUGACAACUCAAAGCCAGCUGAAAGAGAUGAAGACGACGGCUUUCUGAAGUCAUUGUAUCUUGGCAUGGGGGUUGGAUUUGCGGCGGGGUUCUGGGGAAUUUGUGGUUCUCUCUUCCUCAUCAGAGCAUGGAGACACAGAUUUUUCCGAUGGUUUGAUCACUUGAAAGAUCAACUUUAUGUUGCCUUCACCCUCUGGUUCAAAAGAUUCGGUCGAAUAUCAAAAACAGAUCUCCCUUGAGUGAAAUAGCAGCUAUGCCUACUCUGAUCGUUCCUCUGAUUCAAAUACUGAGUUCUGCCUCAAGGAAUAAGGAGCUUUGCUGCUGUUUUGCAUGGUCAAGGACUCCGAUAGCGUAGCCUACUGAAUGCCCUUUUGUUAUCUUAGAUUUAGUGAAUUGGGAGAAGAGAAUAUUUUGUAAUAAUAGUUAUAUGUGUGUCUGGGUGUCUCAUGUUGUUAAGGAACCUUUGAUGAAUAGUCUUGAAUGUGAUAUAUGAUUGUUACUCUAAAGUUCGAUCAUGAGUUAUGAUUUAGAAUCAAAUAAAAAGAUAUUAUGCG